UUUUAUUAAUAGCAUUUUAUACAAACCGAUGGCGAAUAUUUUAUUAAAUAAAAUGUAUUAAUUAUUUUUGUGAAACAAUAAAUAAUACGUAUUUCAUUAUAUCAAUCUGUAUUAUGCGUAUAACGAUUUUGUCGAAAUAUUAAUGGAAUAUCACGAACUGGGAACAUUUUGAAAGAGACAAAUAUUGUCGAAAUGCAACUGCGUAGGAGAACAAGACCGGGAUUAAGACUUUCGUUAGUGUUAUGGAUAAUUUAUUUCGGGACAGAUUCGCGAGAUACAUCACUUGUAAUAAUUAUUUGUAAAUCCUUCAAACAAUAUUCGAAAACCAUAAACUGAUUAAAACCUAAUCUAGGUGAAAACCUACGUGUAACCGUGUAGUGUGUGUAUAGUAUGCACUCUCAAUGGUGUUAAUAUUCAUUCCGGUUAACAGUUUUUUUUUUAAAUGUUUUUUCGACGAUGACGUUCAAAACGAUCUUUAUAACGACAUCCGUCGUAUUAUUCUACACAAAACACACGAGAACCGCUAACUAGCAAAUGGUGACUCCCUUCGGUACAAGGUGGACCAAUACCUAAUUACUAUACGAAUUAUGGUUUACAAAAGUGAAAAAAUAAUUAUGUUUCAUUAGCGUCCGAUGUUGUCUAACGCGUGUCCAUUAUAUUAAACGCCCUGCAUAUUAUAUGACGGAAAUACAUAUCAAUAGGGUAUAGAAAAUGGAAGUUCGCAAAAUUACUUAGAUAUAUACUAUAGACAAGCCUACA